GUGGGGAAUAUUGGACAAUGGGCGCAAGCCUGAUCCAGCCAUGCCGCGUGAGUGAUGAAGGCCUUAGGGUUGUAAAGCUCUUUUGUCCGGGACGAUAAUGACGGUACCGGAAGAAUAAGCCCCGGCUAACUUCGUGCCAGCAGCCGCGGUAAUACGAAGGGGGCUAGCGUUGCUCGGAAUCACUGGGCGUAAAGGGCGCGUAGGCGGCCAUUCAAGUCGGGGGUGAAAGCCUGUGGCUCAACCACAGAAUUGCCUUCGAUACUGUUUGGCUUGAGUAUGGCAGAGGUCAGUGGAACUGCGAGUGUAGAGGUGAAAUUCGUAGAUAUUCGCAAGAACACCAGUGGCGAAGGCGGCUGACUGGGCCAUUACUGACGCUGAGGCGCGAAAGCGUGGGGAGCAAACAGG
rnacentral:rRNA from 1 species